rnacentral:lncRNA from 1 species
GGUUAUUGUUUCUUUUAGGGAUGCAUAAAUGCCCUGCCAUGUCUAGUCUGUGUUUUGGUUUUGUUUGAGGGAUGCAUAAAUGCCCUGCCAUGUCUAGAAUGUGUUUUUUGUUUCUUUUAGGGAUGCAUAAAUGCCCUGCCAUGUCUAGUCUGUGUUUUUGUUUUUUUUAGGGAUGCAUAAAUGCCCUGCCAUGUAUAGUCU